CAGAACGUUGAAGAUUUUGUGUUAAAAAGAGAGCUUUGGAAUGUGUAUUCUUUAAUGUGGAUUAAUUUUUAUAGCUAUGUCCAGACAUUUCACAUACGGAUCGAAAUUGGAAAAAACUUGGUGAAUGAAGAGGAGAGUAUUUGCUGCCAUGUUUUGAAAAAUUCCAUUGGAAGGCAAAUAAAGAUAUCCGGCUUUUUCAAAGAUAAUGAGGAUUUAAAAAGAGCUGUUCGGACUAACCGCUUGUAGGCCGAAUCAAUUUCUAUGAAAUUUCACUGAGUCCGACCAUGAAGGAAAAAUAAAAACAAGCAGGACAAGAAAGAAGAAAAUCCGUUCAAAAAUACAAUGGAGGACAGUGAUUGGUUAUAAACCUGUUUACAAAAAUUGUAUAUGAUAAGUUAAAUGAGUGGAAAACUUUUGAAACUUAUUUUACUAGAUACGAAUUUCAAUCUAAAU